ensembl:lncRNA
AUGUCCCCUCGGCUGGCAGAGGGGGUCGGUCUCAAAGCAGUAGGCGGUGGCACGGCCCAGCUCUGGGGCCCUCAGACACCGCCUGCCCACGGGCUCCUGCGCCCGUCUGGGGCCCCGCCCGCCUCUGGAGCACGGGGGCCGGCUGUGCGGCUGCGGCCUAGCGGGGCAUCGAGCGGCACAUUGAGCUUGGCAUUUGGCCUGCUCUUCCAUACAAUAAACAUCCAGAUGCUUUCCAGGAGUUGGUUUCAUCCCGAAACCAAAGAGCUACCCCUUGUAUUCCUGGUCCUUCUCCAAGCUGACUUGACACAGCCUUUCCUUCUCACUUACCUGCAAGAGCAGCCCAGCUCUGCUAGUCCAAACUCCCACAGCUGUACUGGGAAGGCAGGUGCAAUCUGAUAUGGUUUGGCGGGGGAAAUACACCUUUUCAGACGUGGCGCAAGAAACAGGAACCCACUCUUUAUAUUCUGACAUAUUCUCCUUUCUUCGAAUACAGGGCACAUGAUUCAUGAAAGUGUGUUGGGUUUGUAUGGCAAGGUUUAAAAACAAGGAGUAAUUUAGAAGUGGCUGCUGUAAGCAGCUUUUGCCAUGUCUCACAGAGCCAAUGCCAACAAUGCUCCAAGAUGGACCCACCACUGGCUAAGGCUGAGCCCACCUGUGACAGUGGCAGUACCUCUGGGAUCACGUAUUUAAAAAGGGCAGAAAAACUGACCACAGCUCUUAUUCUCUCUCACAUGUGCUGUUAGUGGAGAAGAGCUGGAGAAUCCUGGAGUUGAAGCUGGGCCUAGGAAGGGGGAAGAGGUGGGAGGGAGGUAUCUUAGAAUUUGGUUUUGUUGUUACCGUGCUCUGAGUUGAUUAAGAGUAAACUAAUUUCCCCAGCCCUGUUUUGCCCAUAACAGCAAUUUCUGAGUGAUAUCUUCCUGCCUUUAUCUCAGCCCACAAGACUUUCUUUAUAUUUUCUCUCCCAUGUCCAGUGGAGGGGAGUAGUGUUAGACAUGCUUUAGUGGGCACCUGACAUCCAGAUAGGGUCAAUCCACCAUUGCAAGUAUUGCUAUUGAUUUUUACAUUUUCCCUGCAUAGACUGACAUGUGUUUACUAUUGCAUAGUAACAUACUAUUCAGGCUCAUGUGCAAGAAUACAGGUCUUCUAAGAGUUGACUACAUUUUGUAGAUUUCCGAAACUUGCCUUCUCAUUGGAGUAAUGCAUUUGAUUUACAACAGUCAGGUGGUAGGCAUGGCUUUGAUUUCUCUGGCACCUGAGACCUCUUUUCACCUCAUUACCUCUCUUCCUUGAAUUAUUUUUUUUCCCCAUUCUUAGGGUAAUGAAUAGCUUUAGAGCAAACAUGGAGUUUUCUGGUGUCUCUGGAUCUGCCACAGAAAUAAUAAGGUGAAUUUUGUUUAUUUAUGUGAGAAAAUAAGCCAGUGUAAAUGUCUGCAAUGUCCACACCUUAAGUUAGAGACUCUCAUACUAAAAAAAAACUUGAAUGGGAACACAAGCAAAAGAUAAAAAUAGUUGAGUCGAAUUUCAAAGAGCAGAUGCAGGAUUAUCCUGCUGCAAGACUUCUCUGCUACAAGGUAUUGUCAAAUCUCCGCUGCUGUAUAUGAUCACUCUUCUACCAAGGGGAAGUUCAAACAACUCUCUCUGCCUUUCUUCCUCUAGAUUUCAAAGCAAGACUGUUGUUUGCAGGAAAGAACUUCCUAACUAUUUUCCUGGUGUAGGGAAAAAAAUUUCUCUUUUAUACUUGAUUAUGUCUCCAAUAUUUCAGCAGUACAUGAGAAGGAUGGAUGAUUAUCACUUCAUUUCUAAGUGUUCAGAAAAUUAUUUAAGUGAUACUAGAGUAACAAAAAUUUUCCUGUCAGUCAGUGCUCAGGGGCCAGGGAAGAACAACAAGAAAAUUACAGGUCCAAAUGGAAGAACAGACAAAUGCUGCGAUAGAGUUCCAUGAUAUAAUUUAGAGUUUCUUCCCUCUCUUCUUGAUAACAAAUAAUUACAAAAACACCUCAAGAAAAAGCGCUAGCUAAAACUGGAUUAUAGCCAAUGCAUAAUUUUCCAGUUAAAUCUUGUUACUGCAUCAAACCCAGAGUUUAGUAAACUACUUGUCCUUUGAAGCAACUCUACCUCCUAUUACACAGUACUCCUUAGGCUGAGAGGAAAACGUUCACAAGACUGCUUCUGAAAGAGUGAGGAACACAACCUAAGAUCACUGGGAUACUAAGCGACGAAUUUUGAAAUUUAUUUUCAUAUGCAUGGUCUGUGUCUACUAUAGUACUUUGUUUCAGAGGAAAAACGUUAUUCUGAAAUAAAUCUCUUUAUGCA